UUUUGACUAUGCUGGCUCGAAGACAUUUGCUCAGGGAAGAAUGUGCAUAUGAUACUUGUAACAUCUCUUCCAAUGAAAGAGUUGACGCUAAAGAAACUGAAGAUGGCACCAAGGGCACAUCUCUGGUAAAUCUGUUUGCUGAAGCCAUCAAAGGCCCAUUACUUUCGUCAGACAGUCAAGUUCAAAUCGGCACUAUAGAUUUACUCUUUCACUAUUUGUCUUCAGUCAAAACUUCAGACUAUCAGAUUCGAGUCUUAGUGGAAGAAAAUAUUGCAGAUUAUUUAUUUGAAAUAUUAAGAUUGUCAGAGUACAAGGACCCAGCAGUCAAGAUGUGCCUUCAGGUAUUGGACCUUUUAUCAACUGCUGAGGAAACUUUUAAAGUAAGACUCGUUGUUGGAAUUUCAACACUUAUCCCAGCAUUACAUUAUGUGGCGGAAAUUCCUUUUCACCCUGUCCAGUGUGCUACACUGAAGCUCAUUUAUGAAUGCAUUUCUGAGUGCCCUGGAUCUGUAUCAAUUUCUCAACUAGAGGAACUGAUUCUUGUUUUGAUAAGAAUGCUUCGAAAGCAUUCUGGUGGAGAAAUGGGUAUGAUUCCCGAGACCUUCAUAAUGGUCUGCUCCGUCUUUGUGGCUCUUAUAAGAUAUCCAUCUUGUACUGGAGCUCUAGAUCUGUCAAAAUCAAUCGGGGAAGCAACAAGACAUGCCAUUUCAGCUUGUCUCUCUGUCUCUGAAAGGAAUGUCAACCAAAUUCUGCAAUGCCUGUACCUACUUAAAGAGGCAUAUGCAUACAGUCACGAUGGAAACUCCAGUAACUCUAGUAAGCAGGAACUUCAAAACAGUAUUCUUGAUACAUGCAGUGCCUAUUUACUACCUUGGCUUGUAAUGGGCAUCAAAGAAAUGGAAGAGGACAUUGCCCUAGGAUUGCUGGAAACUUUUCAUUCGAUACUGCUUCUGCAGUCUAGUAUUAAUGCCACGGAAUAUGCAGAGACUUUGAUUUCAGUCGGUUGGUUCAGUUUUUCGUACGAGUGCCUGGGUUUGUUUACAGGAGAUAGGAUGAAAAGUAGAAUAUAUUUGUUGCUAAGUUCCCUCAUGGAUUCUCUACUAGGGAAUGAUUCUGGACAACCAAUUAGAGAGGCUGUUCUACACCUCUCUCACGAUCCUAUCGAUUUACUCUUUUUGCUUGGGCAAAGGAGUUCUAACAGUUUGGAUUUGCCUUCUUGUCAAUCUGCU
rnacentral:sRNA from 1 species